GACGAACGCUGGCGGCAGGCCUAACACAUGCAAGUCGAGCGGAGCGGCGGACGGGUGAGUAAUGCAUAGGAAUCUGCCUGGCAGUGGGGGAUAACGUCCGGAAACGGGCCCUAAUACCGCACCCUAUCAGAUGAGCCUAGGUCGGAUUGGCUAGUUGGUGGGGUAAAGGCCUACCAAGGCGACGAUCCGUAACUGGUCUGAGAGGAUGAUCAGUCACACUGGAACUGAGACACGGUCCAGACGCCUAGGGGAGGCAGCAGUGGGGAAUAUUGGACAAUGGGCGAAAGCCUGAUACAGCCAUGCCGCGUGUGUGAAGAAGGUCUUCGGAUUGUAAAGCUCUUUAAGUUGGUAGGCGUUACCAACAGAAUAAGCACCGGCUAACUUCGUGCCAGCAGCCGCGGUAAUAC
rnacentral:rRNA from 1 species